ACAACAUAAUGUUUUGACGUAUUCGGACUGCGUUUCACGUCAUCCUAGGUAUACUCCACUGCCUUUUACAUCGUUCCUUCCAGUUCCUCCUCCUCCCCCGACUCCGACCGGGAUUUUAACAGCACUUGGGGCCCGCCAGCCUUGGUAUACGCCACUUCAAACACUUUCAAAACAGACAUUCCUUGACUGUAACAAUGUGGAUUUCAAAAACACCAAUCAUCUAGCAGACGAUCGUUAUACAACAUUACACUGAUUUCGUCAACUUGAGAACAUCAUAGAGGAUAUUCACCGGAUGGACUAUUGCCGGAUACACCAACACGCUUGAUUACCGAACUCUUCAUGCCUGCUGUCUGGACCACAAAGCUCUGCUGACGGUUAUCUGUUGAAUUGCUUUUAGCUCCGAUUCACUUUGAAAUCGUGAAACUAGGAAUUCGCACUUGAUUUGUUGGUGAGAAAGAUACAUAGAUGAAAGGGACGAUGUCGUGGAGUCAGUUCGAUAUCGUCGACCAUUCGCCGCCGAACGUAGAAGCAUGGUGCGCAGAAUCCGCUGGGAUGCCAAGCAAUAAAACGAGC